UAGGAAGUAGUAUAUUGGAAAUACGGGGGGUUUUGAUCUUCCAGAUGUGGGUUCGAUCCCCAUUUUUCUAG
rnacentral:tRNA from 1 species